UGAAGAGAUAAAUUGAGCCUCGGCUUCAUUAACAGCCUCUUGUCUUGUUGCUGUGAUGCAGGUCGGCCGCGUUGCGGCGUAGGGAGACACAAAACAACGUGCGACUGGCUUCGACGGAUUUUUAAGAACCUGGACUGGAUUUAUCUUGAUAAGGUAACUGGAAGACGACGUGAACUGAAUCCACGGCUGGAUCACUCUAGUUUGGUAUUUUGAAGUUGGGUGUUAUUUAUACUGUGUUCAGUUGUAAAGCAGUUUGAGCCCCAUUAGAUUUAUUAGCUGCCUGACAAUAUGGAAUGCUUUUUUUUUUUUUCUAAAUCUAGAAACAUUUAUAGGGUUAAAAUUGUGACUGUAUGAACUCAAAUGCACACUGGCAAAUAAAGUGAC